GUCCCCAGUGGCGCUUGGCAGCUCUGAGAGUGUCCUGGACAGAGCCAAGGGCCCGGCUUCUAUGGGGCAUUGCCCAGCCUUGGCCCCAGCCUCCUCUGUGGGGAGGAACCCAGGGCUGUGGAAGGUAGAAACCCAUGGGUGCACACUGGGUGAGAGGUGGCGAAGGGGGCUCGGGGGGGGAACCACAGUCCAGGGCUGCUCAGCCAUUUCCAGAAAGAGAGAACUUUGUGUGCACAGCCAGUCUUUCUUUUCACAAUCAUAUUUUAAUGGUUUAUGUAAAUAAUUACAUAAUUGCAAGAGCAGGUUUGGGAACAAAUUAAACUGACUCAUGGCAGCAUGCAGCCCACCCAGAGAGGGAGCGAAGUGCAGGUGUCCUGGUGAUGGCCUCUGCCGGGGGGGUCCCGUCAGAGGCUUUGACAGAAGCUGUCACAUGGAGGUCAACUGGCAGAACCUGUGCAAGUGGCGGCUCCUGUUUCCCGAGCCCUUGCUAUGUACGCAGUAAGCCGGACUCCUUACAUGCUCUCUUAUGUAAUCCUCACAACAGCUCCCUAAGGUAGAUGCUAUUUUCUCCAUAUUAUAAGAAAUCGAGUGUGGGAGGCCACCUGCCUAAGGCCACAGCUUUGCUCUGCCCCUGUCCUGGCCUCUCCACUUCAUCAGGGUCUGUCUGAGCUCUCAGCUGGGUGAUCCACCUCCCCACCAGCCCCCCAGAUCUCCCCAGGCCUUUGCCUGCACUGGCCACAUUCUCAGCAGGCUCAGUGUUGUGUGUGUCUCCAGCUCCUCCUCCACGCUCCAGGACACAGGGCUGUGCCUGGGAUUCACAGGAAGCCAGGCCGCCUCUUUCCAGGAGCCGCUCAUGUGACACCAGUGCAUGCUGGGCCUGGAGGCUGUCAUCUGCACCCCUCAUUAGCAGCCUCUGGCUAUUACAUAGCCCUCCAAGUGCCCACCAAGCCUGAGUCACCGUGAUGGCUUCUAGUAUUUACAUGUCCCCAAGUCCCCUGGCAUCUGUUCACUCUCGUCCUGUGUCCUUGUUGCUGACAUCUCGGCGGGCUGGGAGAAACCAGGAUUGUUGUUAUUUUGUUAGAGGGAAACCGAGGCACAGGGAAAUGGAAUAGUAGAGUCUUCCUGGGGAGCGGCCGGGCCAGACCGAGCAUGUCUAGGAGUCCACGUGUCCAGUGGGGUGGCUCUCAUGGGACCUUUCUGGCCUAGGUUAUUCUAAAUCUGUUACUUCCCAACCUGUGUUCUGCAGAACAUGGUACCAUGGGGUGGUAAAAGGCUACCUUCAAAGGGGUUCUGUGGCCUGAUGAGCUGGGGAAAUGGCCACAUGAAGCAGGGCUCCUGCGGGCUCAUAUUGCACAGACCCGUACCCACAGCACUUCAUGAUUUUUUUUUUUUUUUUUUUUUUUU